rnacentral:rRNA from 1 species
GCGCGAAAACUUUACAAUGCUGGCAACAGCGAUAAGGGAACCUCGAGUGCCAGGUUACAAAUCUGGCUGUCGAGAUGCCUAAAAAGCAUUUCAUAGCAAGGGCCGGGCAAGACCGGUGCCAGCCGCCGCGGUAACACCGGCGGCUCGAGUGGUAACCGUUAUUAUUGGGUCUAAAGGGUCUGUAGCCGGCCGGAUAAGUCUCUUGAGAAAUCUGGCAGCUUAACUGUCAGGCUUUCAGGAGAUACUGUCUGGCUCGAGGCCGGGAGGGGUGAGAGGUACUUCAGGGGUAGGGGUGAAAUCUUGUAGUCCUUGAAGGACCACCAGUGGCGAAGGCGUCUCACCAGGACGGACCUGACGGCAAGGGACGAAAGCUAGGGGCACGAACCG